GCCCGUGUAGCUCAGUGGUAGAGCACACCCUUGGUAAGGGUGAGGUCACGAGUUCAAUCCUCGUCACGGGCUUCA
rnacentral:tRNA from 1 species